GACGAACGCUGGCGGCGUGCUUAACACAUGCAAGUCGAGCGGUAAGGCCCUUUUGGGGGGUACACGAGCGGCGAACGGGUGAGUAACACGUGGGUGACCUGCCCUCAGCUCUGGGAUAAGCCUGGGAAACUGGGUCUAAUACUGGAUAUGACCUUUCCUCGCAUGGGGUUGGGUGGAAAGUUUUUCGGCUGGGGAUGGGCCCGCGGCCUAUCAGCUUGUUGGUGGGGUGAUGGCCUACCAAGGCGACGACGGGUAGCCGGCCUGAGAGGGCGACCGGCCACACUGGGACUGAGACACGGCCCAGACUCCUACGGGAGGCAGCAGUGGGGAUAUUGCGCAAUGGGCGGAAGCCUGACGCAGCGACGCCGCGUGGGGA
rnacentral:rRNA from 1 species